rnacentral:snRNA from 1 species
CAGCAUUACUGUUCUUCUAGAAUUUGUCUAGCAGGUUUUCUGGGUUUUACAAAUAAAAAGAACCUCC